AAAUAUCUAGGCCAUCCAGAAGUGGUGUAAUACACCGACCAUCCUAGUACACGAAAGUGUAGGAUGAUAUCCUGAAAGGUGAGAAACCUUACUUUGUAAAGCUAGGUCUGGAGGAGUUAGAAGGAUAGU
rnacentral:ncRNA from 1 species